rnacentral:lncRNA from 1 species
GACAAAUCCCCACACAGAGCAGAACUUCCUCACACUGCUCUUGCAGCAUUUGCAUGCCCAGGACAGUACUCAGUAGAGAGCAGAAACCCAGGACACACGUGCCUGUCACCAUUCAGCCUGUCUGCCGGUGUCAUAGCCACAGAGCCUCUGAGAUGUCACAGUGAGCCUGGGAGUCGUUCCGGAGAGGGCAGAAGAAGCUUCAGAGGUGGGAAACCCAAGUGAAGUAGGGAAGAACCAUGGAUCUACAGUUGCGUGGCCCUGAGAGUCUGAGACUCCUGGAAAACAAGAUGAGAAUCUCAUCUUCCCCAAUGCAGACAAGCGUCCUGGUCAG